UCCAAAGGUGCCAUUGUUCUU
rnacentral:piRNA from 1 species